rnacentral:rRNA from 2 species
UACGUAGGUGGCAAGCGUUGUCCGGAAUUAUUGGGCGUAAAGGAUGCGUAGGUGGUCUUUUAAGUGAGAUGUGAAAUCCCUGGGCUUAACCCAGGAACUGCAUUUCAAACUGGAAGACUAGAGUGCAGGAGAGGAAAGUGGAAUUCCUAGUGUAGCGGUGAAAUGCGUAGAGAUUAGGAGGAACACCAGUGGCGAAGGCGACUUUCUGGACUGUAACUGACACUGAGGCAUGAAAGCGUGGGGAGCAAACAGG